UUGGUGGCGCUGUGUACAUCCAUCUUGGAGUCUUAUGGCUCUGUGGGCCCCAUCGUCCUGACAAUCAGAAAAAGGCGCCACGUAGGGUGUCAGAUCCUGGAGUAAAGGUUCGGGUUCCGGUAGGAGUAGGUGGUGGUCACAAACGACAAAAACCGGAACAGCUAGCACGGACACGUGGACGCAGGAAACGGAAAGCGUCAAUGAAUCCCACUAAUGCAAGCGUCCUUCGAUUCUGUUCGGCUCCCUUGAUGUAUUGGGACCCGCGCAAUACCCUUCUGCUGCUCCUCUCCCUGUUCCCUUUUGCCUUAACCUAUAACUGGGUCACGUUGUAGGCAUUUUGAUGCCAAGUAGAAAUAGGAUAGGAGAUCGCUGGUAGUGAGGUUACCACAAUCUUCCUUAUAUUGAACCAUAUAUGCUCCACAUAUAUGAAUAAUUCAUUAUUGGUGAAAAUCACGAGAGAAUUCAUGUUUAGGAUUUGGGUUAUGACUAUACUUAUUAGAUUAAAAUUAAAAAAUUUUUGGAUAAGAUAAAAAUGAUUUAAUAUUUAGAAUUUGUUUGAAUAAUUUAGCUAAAAAAUUUAUGAAAUUCGUAGAUUGGCCAAUACAACUAGAAUACCAUAGGAUUAUAAUUGGACUAGACUUAUAUUCAUAAAUAUCCAAAAAUAUCUUUAUAAUUAUAUAUAAUAUUAAUCAAUUUAAGUUCUCAAAGCCCUUCCUUGUUGUCAAGAUCAAUUCCCUAUAUUAAUUUAUUCAAGAAGCAUUGCCUCGAUAAUUGCUCCUCAUCUUUCUCACCUCAAAUACCUUUCUCUUUUUCUCUCUCCCUCUUCAAUAUCAUUAAUGUAGGUUGCUAGACUAACAAGCUACAAGCAAACAUAGUCAAUGACCAUUGUUUGGCGGAAGAAAGAGGGAGGGUGUGUACAGAUGAGUGCUUGGAAAUACCGAGGAGAGGGAGGGAAGCAGUAUAUUUGAUGAAUUCUCAAAGAAAGAAAGUAAGAGAGAAAAAUGAGAAAGAAGAUGAAUUAUAAAAUAUUUAACUAUUUGAUCACAUUACAAGUAAUCGUAGAUCACUGACACUAGUUAGAUGAUCAAUUUUUUCAUUUGCUUGAAUAGAUUAAAUAUUAAUUUUACCUCAUUGCAAAUCAAAGAUCAAGACUACUAGAAAUAUAUAAUGAUACCAACUUCAACUUCAAUAUAGCAUAUUCAUUUAUUUAUAUAAUGCUAUGCAUAUUUUGAACCAGCAUUUUGGCUUACAAUCAAGUCCUCUUUCAUUCGAAAAUCUAGCUUCGUUUCAAGGUCUCUACUCAUUUAAUAACAUAAUAAAUCUUCAUAUCACGAAGAAAAUAUCAUUUACUAGCUCAAAAUGCAGUAGAGGUGAGUAAUUUGCUAUACAUCAUAAGUGCGAUAUAGUUCAUGAUACUAAAAUAUUAAUAGACUUAAUAUAAAUAUAAAUUAAAACUCAAAAAAAAGUUAGUCAAAAUGUAUUGUUAGUUUUAACUAUGGAAGUAUUCUCCAGUUAAAUGCUUGAAUCUACAUAUAAACAAAAUCAAGAAACUAUCUGAAAAAUAAUGUUCCGGAGAAAAUGAAAAUGGAUGUUGAAGCAUGCAAGACACAAAGGAAAGAGUGAUAUAUGAUGCAUGAUCCAUUAGAAAACCAGGUGCUACAGCCGCCUUUUAACCCUACAUGUAUUAACGAAGGUCUGACACGCGUUUCCUUCAUCAUUUGGAGCUUCCAGACAAACCACGCGGAAUGGAUGUCCACCGGGAGUGAUCAUAUCCCACGAUGAGCUAUCUGCGUUCACUACCUAAACCUGUACCUGCGGAGCACCAGACAAAGCCUCUUCAUUAAAAGCCCACCACCUCAUCACCCUUCUCGCUCCCUUAGAAGAAGAGAAGAAGAAGAGGAGAAUAGCUUUAGAUGGCGGGCUUGAGCGUUCUUUUGGAAGCCCAGAAGAACUUCCCAAAAAACACCCAAAUCCUCAGGAAGACCUCCAUCCUACGAAACUUUUCUCUCUCCUCCAUUCCUCUUCCCAUCUCCCCUCCUUCCCCUUCCUUCCCCACGAGCCCUUUCCUGGAAUUCUGCUACCUCUGCCGCAAAAGACUCCAAGAAGGGAAGGACAUCUACAUGUAUAGGUGAGCAUACCUUCCAGUCCCUUCCCCUCUUCUCACUCUUCCCUCCAUGCGGGUAUUUUGGGAAUACCAACUCUUCUCUCUCUAAAAUGCCCUUCUCCUAAUUAUUUUUAUUGUAGGGGUGACAGGGCGUUUUGCAGCGUGGAGUGCCGGUGCAAGCAGAUAUUCAUGGACGAGGAGAGCGGGAGGAGGGACAACUGCUCGCUCGCCGCCUCCGCCUCCGCCGCCGCCGAGAGAGGAGGAGCGCCGGCUGCGCGUCACCGGAGGCGGGUGGCAGGGAAGGGGUCGUCGGUGGCCGGCGACUUCGCGUACUGAGGAGAGCAGGGUGGAAAGAGCGCUUAGGCUUUAUCUUUCUUGUUUAGACGAAAAUGCCCUCCAUGUUUUUUUUGCCGGUGGAGGAAUAAGCGUGGAAGGCGGAGGCUAUUUCGGUCUUUUCGGUGAUUUUGUGGUUUCUCGUCCGAAUGCGUCGCCAGUCGGUGGCAGAAAAGAGUAAUAGAUCGAUAGAUUCCACGAAAAAAAAAAAAAAAAAGAAGAAGAGAGAGAGAGAGAGAGAGAGAGAG
rnacentral:lncRNA from 1 species